rnacentral:rRNA from 1 species
CUUUAUUGGAGAGUUUGAUCCUGGCUCAGGACGAACGCUGGCGGCAUGCCUAAUACAUGCAAGUCGAGCGGACUUGAAGAGAAGCUUGCUUCUCUGAU